UACGAACUGUGCAAACGUUAUUCGGAAUCACUGGGCUUACAGGGUGCGUAGGCGGUCUGUUAAGUAGGGUGUGAAAGCCCCCGGCUCAACCGGGGAAUUGCGCCCUAAACUGGCGGGCUUGAGUGAGGUAGGGGUGUGUGGAACUUCCAGUGGAGCGGUGAAAUGUGUUGAUAUUGGAAGGAACGCCGGUGGCGAAAGCGACACACUGGACCUUGUCUGACGCUGAGGCACGAAAGCCAGGGGAGCGAACGGG
rnacentral:rRNA from 1 species